rnacentral:snoRNA from 1 species
GCAUGGCUAUGGAUUUAUGGUGGGUCUAGUUCCAUAGGUCUGUCCAUAGUGUAUUCCAUGCUAAAGUGAGCUGCUACUCUGAACCAUUGGCUAGUUUGGCUUGUUGUAGCCCUGGCUACUGAAAAGAGUGGUACAUCU